AUUGCUUUGGCAGAAAAGUGCAUUAAAUUUAGAAUUUACGUAUGUAUAUAUAAUACAGGCAAUA
rnacentral:tRNA from 1 species